AUUGAACGCUGGCGGCAGGCUUAACACAUGCAAGUCGAGCGAGCGGCGGACGGGUGAGUCAUGUCUGGGAAACUGCCUGUUGGAUGGGGAUAACUACUGGAAACGGUAGCUAAUACCGCAUACCAUCAGAUUUGCCUAGAUGGGAUUAGCGAGUAGGUGGGGUAACGGCUCACCUAGGCGACGAUCCCUAGCUGGUCUGAGAGGCUGAACAGCAACACUGGAAUGGAGACAAGGUCCAGACUCCUACGGGAGGCAGCAGUGGGGAAUAUUGGACAAUGGGCGCAAGCCUGAUGCAGCCAUGCCGCGUGUGUGAAGAAGGCCUUCGGGGUGUAAAGCACUUUGAGCGAGGAGGCGUUACUCGCAGAAGAAGCACCGGCUAACUCCGUGCCAGCAGCCGCGGUAAUAC
rnacentral:rRNA from 1 species